rnacentral:rRNA from 1 species
AGGAUGAACGCUGGCGGCGUGCCUAACACAUGCAAGUCGAACGAGAAAGUGGAGCAAUCCAUGAGUAAAGUGGCGACCGGGUGAGUAACACGUGACUAACCUACCUUCGAGUGGGGGAUAACCUCGGGAAACCGAGGCUAAUACCGCAUAACAUCGUGAGAUCAAAGCAGUAAUGCGCUGGAAGAGGGGGUCGCGGCUGAUUAGCUAGUUGGCGGGGUAAUGGCCCACCAAGGCGAAGAUCGGUA